rnacentral:misc_RNA from 1 species
CUGGGGUUGUUUUCGGCUUUCAGUUGUUUGCUUGGCCUUUGAGCCUAGCAGGCGGCURAUUGUUGUGGCGGCUUCGGGGAUGUUUAUCGUAAAGGUGCAUGAGUGGUGUUUGGAUUGAUACGGGUGGUUGGCUCCCUGCUUGAGCAGGCACGACCAUGCGUACUUUCCUCUUCAGUUAUUCGACAGGGCUUGUAUCGUCUUGAUCGUAUAUGUGGGUUUCCUGUGUUGCAUACCUGAUCAAUGGCAUCGUCUUGAUCAAAACAGUCCCUUUUUCGUCAAGCGCCGCUCUUGUGACGUCGGACGAACCAAGUAGCACCCUCUUUGAUCCAUCCUGUUGACAAGCAUUUGUUGAUGGUUUGGCACAUUGAGGGAUGCUUGGUUUCUUGGAUAUGGAAGCCAAAGUGGGCAUGGGUUCGUAUGAUCCUUUUACUGCCUUCGUUGAGCGUUCUCGCUUCUUUAAAACGACCGCCUCUCACGUAUGGCACGUCCCAGCGUGUUUGGCUACGUCGAAGAGGAAUGCUACC